rnacentral:misc_RNA from 1 species
AAAAUGCGAUAAGUAAUGUGAAUUGCAGAAUUCCGUGAAUCAUCAAAUCUUUGAACGCACAUUGCGCCUUCUGGUAAUCCGGAAGGCAUGCCUGUCUGAGCGUCAUUACACCAUUCAAACCUUUCUUUUAUUAGAAGUGGCUUGGUUUUGGAAGUCGACUGUGGGUAACCAUCAGUCUCUUCUGUAAUGCAUUGACGAGCGUCUACUGUUCCUUAGUUGUAGCAAGUAAUUUCUCAACUUCAAGGUAAUAGUGGAUGUCCUACUUUCUCUUGAUUACUUUUUAAGUAGUCUUUCUAAAGUUUGACCUCAGAUCAGGUAGGAAUACCCGCUGAACUUAA